rnacentral:rRNA from 1 species
AUGCAAGUCGAACGAAUCCCAGUCUUGUAGCAAUACCGGGCUGGGGGAAGUGGCGAAAGGGGCAGUAAUGCAUGGGUAACCUACCCCGGGGACGGGGAUAGCCAUUCUAACGAGUGGGUAAUACCUGGCGAUUUGGCGGAGGGGCAUCUCUCUGCCAGGAAAUGAAUUUCGCCUCGGGAGGGGCUCAUGUGAUAUUAGCUAGUUGGUGAGGUAACGGCUCACCAAGGCAAAGAUGUCUAGCGGGUGUGAGAGCACGACCCGCGCCACUGGCACUGAGACACUGGCCAGACACCUACGGGUGGCUGCAGUCGAGGAUCUUCGGCAAUGGGCGCAAGCCUGACCGAGCGACGCCGCGUGUGCGAUGAAGGCCUUCGGGUUGUAAAGCACUGUCGAGGGGGAUAAAGGCGCAAGCUUGAUAUAUCCCUGGAGGAAGCACGGGCUAAGUUCGUGCCAGCAGCCGCGGUAAGACGAACCGUGCAAACGUUGUUCGGAAUCACUGGGCUUAAAGGGCGCGUAGGCGGCUUGCCAAGUCAGUGGUGAAAUCCUGCAGCUUAACUGUAGAAGUGCCUUUGAUACUGGCGAGCUAGAGCGAGGUAGGGGUCUGUGGAACUUCUGGUGGAGCGGUGAAAUGCGUUGAUAUCAGAAGGAACGCCGGUGGCGAAAGCGACGGACUGGAUCUUUUUCUGACGCUGAGGCGCGAAAGCCAGGGGAGCAAACGGGAUUAGA